UACGUAGGGUGCAAGCGUUGUCCGGAAUUAUUGGGCGUAAAGAGCGUGUAGGCGGCCCGAUUAGUCUGCUGUGAAAGUCCAGGGCUCAACCCUGGAAUGCCGGUGGAUACUGUCGGGCUAGAGUCCGGAAGGGGCGAGUGGAAUUCCUGGUGUAGCGGUGAAAUGCGCAGAUAUCAGGAGGAACACCAAUGGCGAAGGCAGCUCGCUGGGACGGUACUGACGCUGAGACGCGAAAGCGUGGGGAGCAAACAGG
rnacentral:rRNA from 1 species